UUAGAGUAAAGUGCAGAAUGUCAGUAAUAAGCUAUCGUAGGUGUUUGGUUGUGGGUGGACAGCCUGUGUUGUUGUUGUCAUGGAGAUCGUUGUCAAUGACACACAGAACAUCUACUUUCCUUUUGUUGAGACACAUUUCUUUAUGAUUUGACUACUGCCCGUCCCUCCACCCAGCCCUCUGUCCCUCCAUCCCUUCACCUUCCUGGUUCAUUGAAAGAUUGAAAUCAAGCGGCUGAAGGACAAACAUGUCGUCAGUGUCAGAGACUUUCAGCUUGAUUUCAAACGUCCGCUGACUGUGAUCUAGGCAGGUUGAUAGAUUCAAGGCAGGAAAACAGAGCAGCGAGGGAUCAACAGAGGAGGAAGAAGAUGAAGACAACAUGUCUACUGGGACAUUUGCGUCUCUCUGGUUGACUUUAGUGAGCGUCGUCCUGUCUGUCUCUGGAGGUCCUGAUGUACUGUCAUCCUCCCUCCUCAUACCCUCACACCACCUCAUCCUUCUGGAUGUCCAGAGAUCUGCAGUGUGGGCACCUAUCAGGAAAAUCAGAAACACCAGGAGAACCAGAGAACAAACAGAAGAAAGAGACAAG